UGCUCAGCAUUCCAAAUUCUGUUCUCUCCAUGUCUUUCUCUCCUUCUCCCAGCAUUUUAAAGUUAGAUGUCUUUUCUUCUGUAGGGGGAAAAGUGUACAGUAGGUGGUGAGUAAAAGAACAGUUGAGCAUGUAGUGAUAUUAAAAAAUCUGAAUAAGAAUUAUUUUGAUGAGAUUUAGGUUACAGGGGAGGGUUCCUACAGAAUGGAUGGGACUUCAGGGGAAAAUUCUUGUCUUGUAUUUGUACUAAAUAAUUGCUUUUAUUAACAAUAAUGACUAAUGGGAAUGAUACAGUGAGACUUGUUUCUUCUUGUCUCCUUGUACUACAGACCAAUAUUUGCCUAAUGUCUCAGAAAAGUAGAAAUUGCAGAAAAUUGCAAAGAAGACAAAAAUCAUCUUUGAUUUAAAUAAAUUUCAUAAUCACUGUCAACAGUCAAUGUGUACCUUUCAUAAACAUAUAUAUUCUUGAAUUUUAACACUUGAUAUCAGAACAAGACAUAGAAACUACAGGAAAGAACGAUGAUAAGCCAAUUUCAUUCAUGAACAGCAACACAAAAUUCUAACCAAAAAUAUUAUCAAGCUGAAUUGCACCAUUUAUAAAUGAGAUCAUAUACACUGUGACUAAAUUUAUUUAUUCCAGAAAUUUGGUUAGAAUUGACAUUAUACAAAUCAUUAUUGUAAUGUAGCACAUUAAAAGUUUGUCUUUUUUAAGAAGUAUAAUCUCAAUAGACACAGAAAAAGCAGUCAAAAAUUAACACUCAUUCAUGAAAGAAAUAUGAAAGUGGGAAGAGAAAGAAACUUCCCUAAUCUGAAAGAGUGUAUCUCCCACAAAUAUUACAUUAAAUAGUGAAAUAUUAAGAUCAUUCUCUUUUCUAUGAGAAAUAAGAUCAGGAUGACUGCUUCUCUUCAAUAUUUUCUUGGAGGCUCUAGCCAGCACAGCGGGAAAAGAGAGAAAUAUAAAAUAUACUAAUUGGGAAGGAAUAGAUAAAACUGUCACUAUUUAUGUAUAAUUGUCUGCCUCAAAACUCAAGAGAGGCUACAGAGAAAUAUAAAAAUAGGAUUAACUAGAGACUUUAGCAAAAUGUAAGUUUAAUAUAUGAAAGACAAUUACAUUUCUAUACAUCAACAGCAAUUAGAAUAUCUAAUUUCAAAAAUUA
rnacentral:lncRNA from 1 species